rnacentral:tRNA from 1 species
GAGGGCAUAGCUCAGUGGUAGAGCGCAUGCUUAGCAUGCAUGAGGUCCUGGGUUCAAUCCCCAGUACUUUAA